rnacentral:rRNA from 1 species
CCCCCACACUGGUACUGAGACACGGACCAGACUCCUACGGGAGGCAGCAGUGAGGAAUAUUGGUCAAUGGGCGGGAGCCUGAACCAGCCAAGUCGCGUGAGGGAUGACGGCCCUAUGGGUUGUAAACCUCUUUUGCCGGGGAGCAAAGUGCCGCACGUGUGCGGUUUGGAGAGUACCCGGAGAAAAAGCAUCGGCUAACUCCGUGCCAGCAGCCGCGGUAAUACGGAGGAUGCGAGCGUUAUCCGGAUUUAUUGGGUUUAAAGGGUGCGUAGGCGGACGCUUAAGUCAGCGGUAAAAUUGCGGGGCUCAACCUCGUCGAGCCGUUGAAACUGGGUGCCUUGAGUGGGCGAGAAGUACGCGGAAUGCGUGGUGUAGCGGUGAAAUGCAUAGAUAUCACGCAGAACUCCGAUUGCGAAGGCAGCGUACCGGCGCCCAACUGACGCUGAAGCACGAAGGCGUGGGUAUCGAACAGGAUUAGAUACCCUGGUAGUCCACGCAGUAAACGAUGAAUGCUAGUUGUCCGGGGCGAUUGAGUUCUGG